rnacentral:misc_RNA from 1 species
GAGGAGAAAAUCAAAUGCAGAGGGGCUUCCCGUUGAAGGUAUAUAUAUAGGGAAAGUCUGAGCAUUUAUUGCAAGUAGAAAACGAAGCGGAUGCCUCGAAAAUCAAAGGAAUAAAUGCUUUGAUUGAAUCGAACCAGAUGAAGGAGAAGACCGGAGUAGGAGAGGUCGGAAGAGGGGAGCCCGGCAUGAGAGAUCGGAAAAGGAUCGUGUUAGAAAGAUCGGAAGGGAGUGGAGGUCAAAAAACAAAGAGAAUAAGACAACUUCCGCUAACUGUCGUCAUAAUCAGAGCCGAGGUAGUUAAAGCAUUGC